CCUACGGGAGGCAGCAGUGGGGGAUAUUGGACAAUGGGGGAAACCCUGAUCCAGCGACGCCGCGUGAGUGAAGAAGUAUUUCGGGAUGUAAAGCUCUAUCAGCAGGGAAGAAAGAAAUGACGGUACCGGAGUAAGAAGCAGCGGCUAACUACGGGCCAGCAGCCGCGGGAAUACGUAGGGGGCAAGCGUUAUCCGGAAUUACUGGGUGUAAAGGGAGCGUAGACGGGAAUGCAAGGCUGGAGUGAAAGGCGGGGGCCCAACCCCCGGACUGCUCUGGAAACGGGGUAACUGGAGGGCAGGAGCGGCAGGCGGCAUUCCUCUUGUAGCGGUGAAAUGCGUAGAUAUUAGGAGGAACACCAGUGGCGAAGGCGGCCUGCUGGACUGUAACUGACGUUGAGGCUCGAAAGCGUGGGGAGCAAACAGGAUUAGAUACCCUUGUAGUC
rnacentral:rRNA from 1 species